rnacentral:tRNA from 1 species
GCCUGGGUGGCUCAGACGGUUAAGCGUCCGACUUAUGCUCACAGUUCGUGGGUUCGAGCCCCGCAUCGGGCU